rnacentral:rRNA from 1 species
GGUUGUAAACCUCUUUCAGUAGGGAAGAAGCGAAAGUGGACGGUACCUGCAGAAGAAGCGCCGGCUAACUACGUGCCAGCAGCCGCGGUAAUACGUAGGGCGCAAGCGUUAUCCGGAUUUAUUGGGCGUAAAGAGCUCGUAGGCGGUUUGUCGCGUCUGCCGUGAAAGUCCGAGGCUCAACCUCGGAUCUGCGGUGGGUACGGGCAGACUAGAGUGAUGUAGGGGAGACUGGAAUUCCUGGUGUAGCGGUGAAAUGCGCAGAUAUCAGGAGGAACACCGAUGGCGAAGGCAGGUCUCUGGGCAUUUACUGACGCUGAGGAGCGAAAGCAUGGGGAGCGAACAGGAUUAGAUACCCUGGUAGUCCAUGCCGUAAACGUUGGGCACUAGGUGUGGGGGACAUUCCACGUUUUCCGCGCCGUAGCUAACGCAUUAAGUGCCCCGCCUGGGGAGUACGGCCGCAAGGCUAAAACUCAAAGGAAUUGACGGGGGCCCGCACAAGCGGCGGAGCAUGCGGAUUAAUUCGAUGCAACGCGAAGAACCUUACCAAGGCUUGACAUGUGCCAGACCGCUCCAGAGAUGGGGUUUCCCUUCGGGGCUGGUUCACAGGUGGUGCAUGGUUGUCGUCAGCUCGUGUCGUGAGAUGUUGGGUUAAGUCCCGCAACGAGCGCAACCCUCGUUCCAUGUUGCCAGCACGUAGUGGUGGGGACUCAUGGGAGACUGCCGGGGUCAACUCGGAGGAAGGUGGGGAUGACGUCAAAUCAUCAUGCCCCUUAUGUCUUGGGCUUCACGCAUGCUACAAUGGCCGGUACAAUGGGUUGCGAUACUGUGAGGUGGAGCUAAUCCCUAAAAGCCGGUCUCAGUUCGGAUUGGGGUCUGCAACUCGACCCCAUGAAGUCGGAGUCGCUAGUAAUCGCAGAUCAGCAACGCUGCGGUGAAUACGUUCCCGGGCCUUGUACACACCGCCCGUCAAGUCACGAAAGUUGGUAACACCCGAAGCCGAUGGCCUAACCACCUUGUGUGGGGGGAGUCGUCGAAGGUGAACCC